rnacentral:rRNA from 1 species
UACGAAGGGGGCUAGCGUUGCUCGGAAUUACUGGGCGUAAAGCGCACGUAGGCGGCUUUCUAAGUCGGGGGUGAAAUCCUGGAGCUCAACUCCAGAACUGCCUUCGAUACUGGAGAGCUCGAGUCCGGGAGAGGCGAGUGGAACUGCGAGUGUAGAGGUGAAAUUCGUAGAUAUUCGCAAGAACACCAGUGGCGAAGGCGGCUCACUGGCCCGGUACUGACGCUGAGGUGCGAAAGCGUGGGGAGCAAACAGG